rnacentral:rRNA from 1 species
UACAGAGGGUGCGAGCGUUUGUUCGGAAUUAUUGGGCGUAAAGGGUGCGUAGGCGGCGCGGUAAGUCGGGUGUGAAAUCUCGGAGCUUAACUCCGAAACUGCAUUCGAUACUGCCGUGCUUGAGGACUGGAGAGGAGACUGGAAUUUACGGUGUAGCGGUGAAAUGCGUAGAUAUCUGGAGGAACACCGGUGGCGAAGGCGGCAUCCUGGACCGACACUGACGCUGAGGAGCGAAAGCCAGGGGAGCAAACGGG